CGCGGUUUUCAGCUUUCGAAGAUGGUCGAAUCGACCAUCUUCAUGGCUGCACGAGACAACCUUUUUUUUCCGUGUAUGUUUUAAAUCAAC